rnacentral:antisense_RNA from 1 species
CGGCGCUUGAGGCUUUCGCCUCAUGGCAAUGUUGAGCUUUAUCGUUGUACUGAAGCAGAAAGAAGAAAGCCCCGAAGGUAAUAUUACUCACCCAUGUACUGCACCCAUUUAGUUGGACUCUCAAACCGGAGAGUGGGUUGCAGCCUAUGAUGCUUAUGGUUAAGAGGGAUUAAAG